GAUGAACGCUGGCGGCGUGCCUAAUACAUGCAAGUCGAGCGAACGGACGAGAAGCUUGCUUCUCUGAUGUUAGCGGCGGACGGGUGAGUAACACGUGGAUAACCUACCUAUAAGACUGGGAUAACUUCGGGAAACCGGAGCUAAUACCGGAUAAAAUUUUGAACCGCAUGGUUCAAAAGUGAAAGACGGUCUUGCUGUCACUUAUAGAUGGAUCCGCGCUGCAUUAGCUAGUUGGUAAGGUAACGGCUUACCAAGGCAACGAUGCAUAGCCGACCUGAGAGGGUGAUCGGCCACACUGGAACUGGGACACGGUCCAGACUCCUACGGGAGGCAGCAGUAGGGAAUCUUCCGCAAUGGGCGAAAGCCUGACGGAGCAACGCCACGUGAGAGAUAAAGGUCUUCCGAUCGUAAAACUCUGUUAUUAGGGGAGAACAUAUGUGUAAGUAACUGUGCACAUCUUGACGGUACCUAAUCAGAAAGCCACGGCUAACUACGUG
rnacentral:rRNA from 1 species